rnacentral:rRNA from 1 species
UACAGAGGUCUUAAGCGUUGUUCGGAUUCAUUGGGCGUAAAGGGUGCGUAGGCGGCGCGGUAAGUCGGGUGUGAAAUCUCGGGGCUUAACUCCGAAACUGCAUUCGAUACUACCGUGCUUGAGGACUGGAGAGGAGACUGGAAUUUACGGUGUAGCGGUGAAAUGCGUAGAUAUCGUAAGGAAGACCAGUGGCGAAGGCGGGUCUCUGGACAGUUCCUGACGCUGAGGCACGAAGGCCAGGGGAGCAAACGGG